UACGAAGGGGGCUAGCGUUGCUCGGAAUCACUGGGCGUAAAGCGCACGUAGGCGGGUCUUUAAGUCAAGGGUGAAAUCCUGGAGCUCAACUCCAGAACUGCCUUUGAUACUGAAGAUCUCGAGUCCGGAAGAGGUGAGUGGAACUCCGAGUGUAGAGGUGAAAUUCGUAGAUAUUCGGAAGAACACCAGUGGCGAAGGCGGCUCACUGGUCCGGUACUGACGCUGAGACGCGAAAGCGUGGGGAGCGAACAGG
rnacentral:rRNA from 1 species